GACGAACGCUGGCGGCGUGCUUAACACAUGCAAGUCGAACGGAAAGGCCCUGCUUUUGUGGGGUGCUCGAGUGGCGAACGGGUGAGUAACACGUGAGUAACCUGCCCUUGACUUUGGGAUAACUUCAGGCAACUGGGGCUAAUACCGGAUAGGAGCUCCUGCUGCAUGGUGGGGGUUGGAAAGUUUCGGCGGUUGGGGAUUGACUCGCGGCUUAUCAGCUUGUUGGUGGGGUAGUGGAUUACCAAGGCUUUGGCGGGUAGCCGGCCUGAGAGGGGGACCGGCCACAUUGGGACUGAGAUACGGCCCAGACUCCUACGGGAGGCAACAGGGGGGAAUAUUGCACAAUGGGCGGAAGCCUGAUGCAGCAACGCCGCGUGCGGGAUUACGGCCUUCGGGUUGUAAACCGCUUUCGCCUGUGACGAAGCGUGAGUGACGGUAAUGGGUAAAGAAGCACCGGCUAACUACGUG
rnacentral:rRNA from 1 species